UUCUCCAUUGACAACACACAAAGGUGCUUCUCGGGGUCUGGGAUGCUGGUAUCAGCAGUGAAUUUGACACUGAGGUGUUGGUCUCUCCAAAGGAGGGCUCAAAGAUGCUCAGUGACUCAGCUAACAUUACGGAAAAGGGGGCAAAAAUAACCUAAGAGCCAGAAGGAGGAAUGCUGUCUCCAGGAUAUGACAUGACUGUCCCACAAUGCCUCUAUUGCGACCUGCACAGGACCAAGACAACAAGAAAAAUCUCUGUCUAGCUUGAUGUCCCGAAAGUUUUCUCUUGCGACUUCUUCCAAAAGGAAAUACAUAACCCACAACCUAGGUUUUGCCAAGAAUGUAGGUUAUUCUCCACAAACUGACAGCAAGGCCCCAUUGCUGAAGACAACACCUAAAUAAUAUGUUGAAGGUUGAGAUGUUGAAUCAGUGCCUACAUAGAGCCUUCACUGCUAUGUUCCAGCAUCUUUGAUACAGGAAUGCCUGCUAAACACAUUCAAAGAAGAAAUGUAAAUGCCAAACCAGCCACAAACCCUUUAUCUAACAAUGGCCUAC